UACGGAGGGUGCGAGCGUUGUCCGGAAUCACUGGGCGUAAAGGGCGCGUAGGCGGCGCGGAUAGUCGGCGGUGAAAGCCCGGAGCUCAACUCCGGGUCGGCCGUCGAUACUUCCGGGCUUGAGCACUGUAGAGGCAGAUGGAAUUCCGGGUGUAGCGGUGGAAUGCGUAGAGAUCCGGAAGAACACCGGUGGCGAAGGCGGUCUGCUGGGCAGUUGCUGACGCUGAUGCGCGACAGCGUGGGGAGCAAACCGAGG
rnacentral:rRNA from 1 species